AGCAGCCGCGGUAAUUCCAGCUCCAAUAGCGUAUAUUAAAGUUGCUGCAGUUAAAAAGCUCGUAGUUGAAUUUCGGGAUCAAUAUGUUGGUCGUGCCUCGGUACGUACUAGCUUAUUGGUUUCUCCCUUCUGACGAACCAUGAUGUCAUUUAUUUGGUGUUAUGGGAAAUCAGGACUGUUACUUUGAAAAAAUUAGAGUGUUUAAAGCAGGCUCACGCUUGAAUACAUUAGCAUGGAAUAAUGAAAUAGGACGUUUGAUUCUAUUUUGUUGGUUUCUAGGAUCGACGUAAUGAUUAAUAGGGAUAGUUGGGGGCAUUAGUAUUCAAUUGUCAGAGGUGAGAUUCUUGGAUUUAUUGAAGACUAAUUACUGCGAAAGCAUUUGCCAAGGAUGUUUUCAUUAAUCAAGAACGAAAGUUAGGGAUCGAAGACGAUCAGAUACCG
rnacentral:rRNA from 1 species